GACGAACGCUGGCGGCGUGCUUAACACAUGCAAGUCGAACGAUGAAGCCUAGCUUGCUAGGUGGAUUAGUGGCGAACGGGUGAGUAAUACGUGAGUAACCUACCUUUAACUCUGGGAUAAGCCUGGGAAACUGGGUCUAAUACCGGAUACGACCAAUCUCCGCAUGGGGUGUUGGUGGAAAGCGUUAUGUAGUGGUUAUAGAUGGGCUCACGGCCUAUCAGCUUGUUGGUGAGGUAACGGCUCACCAAGGCGACGACGGGUAGCCGGCCUGAGAGGGUGACCGGCCACACUGGGACUGAGACACGGCCCAGACUCCUACGGGAGGCAGCAGUGGGGAAUAUUGCACAAUGGGCGCAAGCCUGAUGCAGCGACGCCGCGUGAGGGAUGACGGCCUUCGGGUUGUAAACCUCUGUUAGCAGGGAAGAAGAGAGAUUGACGGUACCUGCAGAGAAAGCGCCGGCUAACUACGUGCCAGCAGCCGCGGUAAUACGUAGGGCGCGAGCGUUGUCCGGAAUUAUUGGGCGUAAAGAGCUUGUAGGCGGUUUGUCGCGUCUGCUGUGAAGGCCGGGGCUUAACCCCGUGUAUUGCAGUGGGUACGGGCAGACUAGAGUGCAGUAGGGGAGACUGGAAUUCCUGGUGUAGCGGUGGAAUGCGCAGAUAUCAGGAGGAACACCGAUGGCGAAGGCAGGUCUCUGGGCUGUAACUGACGCUGAGAAGCGAAAGCAUGGGGAGCGAACAGGAUUAGAUACCCUGGUAGUCCAUGCCGUAAACGUUGGGCACUAGGUGUGGGGGACAUUCCACGUCUUCCGCGCCGUAGCUAACGCAUUAAGUGCCCCGCCUGGGGAGUACGGCCGCAAGGCUAAAACUCAAAGAAAUUGACGGGGGCCCGCACAAGCGGCGGAGCAUGCGGAUUAAUUCGAUGCAACGCGAAGAACCUUACCAAGGCUUGACAUAUACUGGACCGCAUCAGAGAUGGUGUUUCCCUUCGGGGCUGGUAUACAGGUGGUGCAUGGUUGUCGUCAGCUCGUGUCGUGAGAUGUUGGGUUAAGUCCCGCAACGAGCGCAACCCUCGUUCUAUGUUGCCAGCACGUUAUGGUGGGGACUCAUAGGAGACUGCCGGGGUCAACUCGGAGGAAGGUGGGGAUGACGUCAAAUCAUCAUGCCCCUUAUGUCUUGGGCUUCACGCAUGCUACAAUGGCCGGUACAGAGGGUUGCGAUACUGUGAGGUGGAGCUAAUCCCUAAAAGCCGGUCUCAGUUCGGAUUGGGGUCUGCAACUCGACCCCAUGAAGUCGGAGUCGCUAGUAAUCGCAGAUCAGCAACGCUGCGGUGAAUACGUUCCCGGGCCU
rnacentral:rRNA from 1 species